rnacentral:rRNA from 1 species
UGGGGAAUAUUGGACAAUGGGCGCAAGCCUGAUCCAGCCAUGCCGCGUGAGUGAUGAAGGCCUUAGGGUUGUAAAGCUCUUUCACCGAUGAAGAUAAUGACGGUAGUCGGAGAAGAAGCCCCGGCUAACUUCGUGCCAGCAGCCGCGGUAAUACGAAGGGGGCUAGCGUUGUUCGGAAUUACUGGGCGUAAAGCGCACGUAGGCGGAUAUUUAAGUCAGGGGUGAAAUCCCGCAGCUCAACUGCGGAACUGCCUUUGAUACUGGGUAUCUUGAGUAUGGAAGAGGUUAGUGGAAUUGCGAGUGUAGAGGUGAAAUUCGUAGAUAUUCGCAGGAACACCAGUGGCGAAGGCGGCUAACUGGUCCAUAACUGACGCUGAGGUGCGAAAGCGUGGGGAGCAAAACAGGAUUAGAUACCCUGGUAGUCCACGCCGUAAACGAUGAAUGUUAGCCGUCGGGCAGUUUACUGUUCGGUGGCGCAGCUAACGCAUUAAAACAUUCCGCCUGGGGAGUACGGUCGCAAGAUUAAAACUCAAAUGAAUUGACGGGGUCAUAGCUGUUUCCU